rnacentral:rRNA from 1 species
UACGGAGGGUGCAAGCGUUAUCCGGAUUCACUGGGUUUAAAGGGUGCGUAGGAGGGCAGGUAAGUCCGUGGUGAAAUCUCCAAGCUUAACUUGGAAACUGCCAUGGAUACUAUCUGUCUUGAAUAUUGUGGAGGUGAGCGGAAUAUGUCAUGUAGCGGUGAAAUGCUUAGAUAUGACAUAGAACACCAAUUGCGAAGGCAGCUCGCUACUCAUAUAUUGACUCUGAGGCACGAAAGCGUGGGGAUCAAACAGG